AAAUUUAUUCAGAAAAAUUAUUUUUUUAAAAGUACGAGCGCUAGGCGGGGUGGGGAUAGGUAUCCACUCUAGCGCGGUAAGGGGAAAGCAGUAACCAUAUGAUUUUUCUCAAUAUAUAGAUAUACAUUUAACAUUGGCUAAUGGCGGGAUUUAUUUUUCUUUUAAUUAAUA